AUUAACAGUAGUAUCGUACAUUUGUAUUUUUAUGUUUUUUUUUUUUUUUUUUUUUUUUUUUUUUUUUUUUUUUUUUUUUUUUUUUUUUUUUUUUUUUUUUUUUUUUUUUUUUUUUUUUGAUGAUGAGGGGGGUGGGGGGGUACCUCGUUUUAAAGGGUAAAACGAGGCGGUACAGGAGUAAUUAUUUCAGAAUUUUAGAAGGAAAAAUUUUGGGGGUGGGGGGUGAAAAGUCGUUAGGGGUGGAAAAGGGGUGAGUUCUGGGUGGGGUCGGGUAGAAGAAAG
rnacentral:misc_RNA from 1 species